GUCUACAGUCAUGCCACUCUGCCCAAUCUUGUCUGAUCUCGGAAGCUAAGCAGGGUCAGGCCAGAUUAGUACUUGGAUGGGAGACCACUCAGGAAUACCAGGUGCUGUAGGCU
rnacentral:rRNA from 1 species